UACGUAGGGUGCGAGCGUUGUCCGGAAUUAUUGGGCGUAAAGAGCUUGUAGGUGGUUUGUCGCGUCUGCUGUGAAAGUCCGAGGCUCAACCUCGGACUUGCAGUGGGUACGGGCAGACUAGAGUGUGGUAGGGGAGACUGGAAUUCCUGGUGUAGCGGUGGAAUGCGCAGAUAUCAGGAGGAACACCGAUGGCGAAGGCAGGUCUCUGGGCCGGAUAC
rnacentral:rRNA from 1 species